rnacentral:rRNA from 1 species
UACGAAGGGUGCAAACGUUGCUCGGAAUUAUUGGGCGUAAAGCGCACGUAGGCGGCUUUGCAAGUCCGAUGUGAAAUCCCUCGGCUUAACCAAGGAAGUGCAUCGGAAACUGCAGAGCUUGAGUACUUAAGAGGAUCGCGGAAUUCCCGGUGUAGAGGUGAAAUUCGUAGAUAUCGGGAGGAACACCAGUGGCGAAGGCGGCUUCCUGGACACAGACUGACACUGAGGCACGAAAGCGUGGGUAGCAAACAGG